rnacentral:lncRNA from 7 species
AGCCAAGCUGAUGCAAGGAGAACUUUGGCAGUGCUGUUCACCGGUGCUAUGGAAAGACAGGCAGACUGGAGGGGCAGAACAGCUUUCUAUACCUUUGGAGAUCUGAUUACCGGAAAGGACAAACCUACUGCCUUCCCACGCAAGCCCUGUUGUGUUGCAGAGAUGGUAGCACCUCCGGCAGGAUCCCCACCUCUGUCCUGCCAGCCAUGGAGGAACCCCACUACAACAUAACGAGCCUGAGACCUUCAGGAGGGAAGACUAACUGCUUCCAAGGAUAGGAAGGAUUUGCAGCAUCCACAGUCCCUGUAACAGUCUCAGCUAAGACAGUGACUCCCUGCUCCUACCCAAGGGUGAUGAAGGCUGUUCCCAGCAGGGCACCUUGCAGGAGAAGGCACCAAGGCCUCGACUUGCUUGAUGCAGCCAAAGCAACACCUUCUUCUCCAGUCCAGCAGUCUCCAUCUAAAGAUGCAAAAUAAACAGAAGCUUUCCUCCAAGGUGACUUCCAACCAGAGCAAGCGCUGCUCACCAGCUGGAGCAGGACCGGCAGACACACAUUUUCACUGCCACAGCCCAACUCUGUCCAAGUCUGGACUCCAGCACCACCAGGACCCUGGAACGUUACCCCGCAGAGUACCUGGCACAAUACAUUAAAAGGUGUUUGGGCCACAGACUUCUUUAUUUGUGGGCACACUCCCCUUCGGCACAUCUGCAUUGUGCAGCACCAGAGACGCCAGCUCUGCACAAUGCUGCGGACAUGCCAAACCCCCAGGGCCAUGAUGCACACCUGGCAGCCAGCACUAACAAGCAGUCCUACACAACGUAUCUCCCAGCCUCCUCUCCGGGGUUCAUACCUCCAUGCAUGGUUUCUUCCAGCUGUCGGCUGUGCAGCAGACCUGGAAUUCAGUGUUUUAAUUAAACCAUCACGUU